GAUGAACGCUGGCGGCGUGCCUAAUACAUGCAAGUCGAGCGAAUGGAUUAAGAGCUUGCUCUUAUGAAGUUAGCGGCGGACGGGUGAGUAACACGUGGGUAACCUGCCCAUAAGACUGGGAUAACUCCGGGAAACCGGGGCUAAUACCGGAUAACAUUUUGAACCGCAUGGUUCGAAAUUGAAAGGCGGCUUCGGCUGUCACUUAUGGAUGGACCCGCGUCGCAUUAGCUAGUUGGUGAGGUAACGGCUCACCAAGGCAACGAUGCGUAGCCGACAUGGGAGGGUGAUCGGCCACACUGGGACUGAGACACGGCCCAGACUCCUACGGGAGGCAGCAGUAGGGAAUCUUCCGCAAUGGACGAAAGUCUGACGGAGCAACGCCGCGUGAGUGAUGAAGGCUUUCGGGUCGUAAAACUCUGUUGUUAGGGAAGAACAAGUGCUAGUUGAAUAAGCUGGCACCUUGACGGUACCUAACCAGAAAGCCACGGCUAACUACGUGCCAGCAGCCGCUGUAA
rnacentral:rRNA from 1 species